UACGUAGGGUGCGAGCGUUAAUCGGAAUUACUGGGCGUAAAGCGUGCGCAGGCGGCUUUGCAAGACAGAUGUGAAAUCCCCGGCCUCAACCUGGGAACUGCAUUUGUGACUGCAAGGCUAGAGUACGGCAGAGGGGGAUGGAAUUCCGCGUGUAGCAGUGAAAUGCGUAGAUAUGCGGAGGAACACCAAUGGCGAAGGCAAUCCCCUGGGCCUGUACUGACGCUCAUGCACGAAAGCGUGGGGAGCAAACAGG
rnacentral:rRNA from 1 species